GAUGAACGCUAGCGGCAGGCCUAAUACAUGCAAGUCGAACGGUGUCUUCGGACAUAGUGGCGCACGGGUGCGUAACACGUAUGCAACCUACCUUACAUUGGGGGAUAGCCUUUCGAAAGGGAGAUUAAUACCGCAUAAGACAGUAACUAGGCAUCUAGUAGCUGUUAAAGAUUUAUCGAUGUAAGCUGGGCAUGCGACCAAUUAGCUUGUUGGUGAGGUAAUGGCUCACCAAGGCUAUGAUUGGUAGGGGAACUGAGAGGUCAAUCCCCCACACUGGCACUGAGAUACGGGCCAGACUCCUACGGGAGGCAGCAGUAGGGAAUAUUGGGCAAUGGACGCAAGUCUGACCCAGCCAUGCCGCGUGCAGGAUGAAGGCGUUAUGCGUUGUAAACUGCUUUUAUACAGGAAGAAACGACUCUUGCGAGAGGCAUUGACGGUACUGUAUGAAUAAGCACCGGCUAACUCCGUGCCAGCAGCCGCGGUAAUACGGAGGGUGCAAGCGUUGUCCGGAUUUAUUGGGUUUAAAGGGUGCGCAGGUGGUUUAUUAAGUCAGUGGUGAAAGACGGUCGCUCAACGAUUGCAGUGCCAUUGAAACUGGUAGACUUGAGUAAAGUAGAGGUGGGCGGAAUUGAUAGUGUAGCGGUGAAAUGCAUAGAUAUUAUCAAGAACUCCAAUUGCGUAGGCAGCUCACUUGGCUUUUACUGACACUCAUGCACGAAAGUGUGGGUAUCAAACAGGAUUAGAUACCCUGGUAGUCCACACUGUAAACGAUGAUAACUAGGUGUCGGCCGAAUCUGGUCGGUGCCACAGCGAAAGCGUUAAGUUAUCCACCUGGGGAGUACGCCCG
rnacentral:rRNA from 1 species